rnacentral:rRNA from 1 species
GAAUUCGCCCUUAGAGUUUGAUCCUGGCUCAGGACGAACGCUGGCGGCGUGCUUAACACAUGCAAGUCGAGCGAUGAAGCUUCUUCGGAAGUGGAUUAGCGGCGGACGGGUGAGUAACACGUGGGUAACCUGCCUUGUAGAGAGGAAUAGCCAUUCGAAAGGAUGAUUAAUACCUCAUAAUAUUGUAGCUUCGCAUGGAGCAACAAUCAAAGGAGCAAUCCGCUACAAGAUGGACCCGCGGCGCAUUAGCUAGUUGGUGAGGUAACGGCUCACCAAGUCAACGAUCGGUAGCCGACCUGAGAGGGUGAUCGGCCACAUUGGAACUGAGACACGGUCCAAACUCCUACGGGAGGCAGCAGUGGAGAAUCUUGCACAAUGGGGGAAACCCUGAUGCAGCAACGCCGCGUGAAGGAUGAAGGCCUUUGGGUCGUAAACUUCUGUUCUAAGGGAAGAUAAUGACGGUACCUUAGGAGCAAGUCCCGGCUAACUACGUGCCAGCAGCCGCGGUAAUACGUAGGGGGCGAGCGUUAUCCGGAAUUAUUGGGCGUAAAGAGUACGUAGGUGGUUUCCUAAGCAUGGGGUUUAAGGCAAAGGCUUAACCAUUGUUCGCCCCAUGAACUGGGUUACUUGAGUGCUGGAGGGGAAAGCGGAAUUCCUAGUGUAGCGGUGAAAUGCAUAGAUAUUGCGCAGAACUCCGAUUGCGAAGGCAGCUUUCCAGCACGCCACUGACGCUCAUGCACGAAAGCGUGGGUAUCGAACAGGAUUAGAUACCCUGGUAGUCCACGCGGUAAACGAUGAUAACUAGUUAUUCGCCAAAAUUGAUUGGUGAGUGACCGAGCGAAAGCGUUAAGUUAUCCACCUGGGGAGUACGUUCGCAAGAAUGAAACUCAAAGGAAUUGACGGGGGCCCGCACAAGCGGAGGAACAUGUGGUUUAAUUCGAUGAUACGCGAGGAACCUUACCCGGGCUCGAACGGCUAGUGAACGACUCAGAGAUGAGAAGGUCCUCCGGGACACUAGUCGAGGUGCUGCAUGGUUGUCGUCAGCUCGUGUCGUGAGAUGUUGGCUUAAGUGCCAUAACGAGCGCAACCCUUGUCGCCAGUUACCAUCAUUCAGUUGGGGACUCUGGCGAGACUGCCACCGCAAGGUGUGAGGAAGGCGGGGAUGACGUCAAAUCAGCACGGCCCUUACGUCCGGGGCGACACACGUGUUACAAUGGUAGCUACAGAGGGAAGCCACCUGGUGACAGGGAGCAGAUCUCGAAAAGCUAUCUCAGUUCGGAUUGGAGUCUGCAACUCGACUCCAUGAAGCUGGAUUCGCUAGUAAUCGCGCAUCAGCCAUGGCGCGGUGAAUACGUUCCCGGGCCUUGCACACACCGCCCGUCA